UAUGCACAUCCCUAGUAUGUACUUCUAACUAGAGGAAGCUCAAGUCAUUGUGGUGCCUGAGGUCAAACAUCUGAAAGAAUAUUUUAAGUAACAAAACAGCUCAAGUAUCAAAAUGCAGUACAAUAAAUGCAGCUAAAAUGAAAAAUUGGAAUGUCCUGUCCAGAUGCCAAGUCCCUACCACUAAGCAAGCCAGCCGGAGGGGUCUGAGGAAGAGCAACCAGCUCUCCCCAAGGACGUUAAUCCUGUGAAGACUUCGUUUAGUCAUCUUGGCUGGGACGAAACAUGGCCUACAGGGGGACGUGG